AUUGAACGCUGGCGGCAGGCCUAACACAUGCAAGUCGAACGCAGUUGCGAACGGGUGAGUAAUGCGUAGGUAACUGCCUCAUAGCGGGGGAUAACUAUUGGAAACGACAGCUAAAACCGCAUAUUGUGAGAUGGACCUGUGUUGUAUUAGUUAGUUGGUGGGGUAAAGGCUCACCAAGGCGACGAUACAUAGCCGACCUGAGAGGGUGCUCAGCCCCGCUGGGACUGGGACUCAGCCCGGACUCCUUCCGGAGGCAACAGUAGUGGAUCUGCGGCAAUAGACGGAAAUCUGACCGGGCAACGCCGGGUGUGUGGAGAAGGUUUUCGGAGCGUAAAGCUCUGUUGUUGGGGAAGCGGUAACUAUCCAGGAAGGGACGGCUAACUACGUGCCAGCAGCCGCGGUAAUUC
rnacentral:rRNA from 1 species